rnacentral:rRNA from 1 species
UACGUAGGGUGCAAGCGUUGUCCGGAAUUAUUGGGCGUAAAGAACUCGUAGGCGGUCUGUCGCGUCGGAUGUGAAAAUCCAGGGCUCAACCCUGGACCUGCAUUCGAUACGGGCAGACUAGAGUUCGGUAGGGGAGACUGGAAUUCCUGGUGUAGCGGUGAAAUGCGCAGAUAUCAGGAGGAACACCGGUGGCGAAGGCGGGUCUCUGGGCCGUAACUGACGCUGAGGAGCGAAAGCAUGGGGAGCGAACAGG